rnacentral:lncRNA from 1 species
AUGCAGUUUUUCAUAAAGACCGUCACAGGAAAGACCAUCAUGCUCAAGGUUGAUCCCCCAAACACUAUAGGAAAAUGUGAAGGCCAAAGUCUCUGUUUAGGAAGCUGUUCCUCCUGAUUAGCCAAGGCUGCUCUUUGCUGGUAAGCAGUUGGAAGAUGGUCAUGCUUUGUCUGACUACAACAUUCAAAAGGAGCCCAUCCUUCAUCCUGUGUUGAGAUGUCAUGGUGGUGCUGAGAAGAGGAAGAGGUCUUACAGCCCUCGCAAGCAGAAUGAGCAGAAGGGAAAGAAGGUUAAGCUGUCUCUAUGGAAGUGGAUAAGGUGGAUGAAAACGGCCUGGGUUGAGAGUGCCUUUCUGAUGAAUGUGAUGCUGGAGUUUUCAUAGCCUGCCACUUGAACAGACAGUACUGUGGCAAAUGUCUGACUUAACUGCUUCAACAAAUCAGAAGACAAGUAA